rnacentral:lncRNA from 1 species
UAAGGCCAGAAGGAGCAAUCAGGGAGUGUGCUUUUUCUAACAUGUAGCAUGUUGGCCAAUACUGGGGAUUUCUGAAAGUAGACACAGAAAAAACCUGUGGCUGGAGCUGGAUGGGCAACGGCACGACUACAGUCUGCUGUCUGGUUUGGAYGGAGAUGGGAACGUAUAACACAGGCUCACAAAGUUUCAUCCGCUGAGAGAGAUCUCCGGAGAAGUYGCCUUAUCUUUUGGCUGCGGGCUCUGCUGCUGCUCUGCAAACACACAGCGCAGAAURCUGAUGUGCUGCCUCCCCUACACCUGCUGCGUCGGCCUUCAUUUGUACACCGGGCCAUUUCAUAGACCGGUAGGUUGUACUGGCUGUCCAAAAGGGCCCUUCUAGCUCCUGAACGCUCCAGGACCAGCAUAUCCGCAGUUACCGUGCCUGCCCCAGUCCUACCUACUGCUCUCAGCAGGGGAUUARCGCAAGAGCUUUGCGAGCCCCAUUCAGUCACAAUAUUUUC